CGGCACGGGUGCGUAACGCGUGGGAAUGUACUCCUUGGUACGGAACAACAUCGGGAAACUGAUGCUAAUACCGUAUAAUAUCUCCGGAUCAAAGAUUUAUCGCCAAGGAAUCAGCCCGCGUCAGAUUAGCUAGUUGGUGAGGUAAUGGCUCACCAAGGCUACGAUCUGUAGCUGGUCUUAGAGGAUGAUCAGCCACACUGGAACUGAGACACGGUCCAGACUCCUACGGGAGGCAGCAGUGAGGAAUCUUGGACAAUGGGGCAACCCUGAUCCUGCCAUGCCGCGUGAGUGAUGAAGGCCUUCGGGUUGUAAAGCUCUUUUAGCUGUGAAGAUAAUGACGGUAACAGCAGAAAAAGCCCCGGCUAACUUCGUGCCAGCAGCCGCGGUAAUACGAAGGGGGCGAGCGUUGUUCGGAAUUACUGGGCGUAAAGCGUAUGUAGGCGGUCGAAAAAGUCAGAAGUGAAAGCCCCGGGCUCAACCUGGGAACUGCUUUUGAAACUUUUCGACUAGAGUCCCGGAGAGGUUGGCGGAAUUCCGAGUGUAGAGGUGAAAUUCGCAGAUAUUCGGAGGAACACCAGUGGCGUAAGCGGCCAACUGGACGGGAACUGACGCUGAGGUACGAAAGCGUGGGGAUCAAACAGGAUUAGAUACCCUGGUAGUCCACGCCAUAAACGAUGUGUGCUAGCUGUUGGGAGGUUUACCUCUCGGCGGCGCAGCUAACGCUAUAAGCACACCGCCUGGGGAGUACGGUCGCAAGAUUAAAACUCAAAGGAAUUGACGGGGACCCGCACAAGCGGUGGAGUAUGUUGUUUAAUUCGAUGCAACGCGAAGAACCUUACCUACACUUGACAUACCAGUUGGGAGAGACAGAGAUGUUUCUUUUCAUUUAGUUGGGCUGGAUACAGGUGCUGCAUGGCUGUCGUCAGCUCGUGUCGUGAGAUGUUGGGUUAAGUCCCGCAACGAGCGCAACCCCUAUCGUCUGUUGCCAUCAGGUAAUGCUGGGCACUCUGGCGAGACUGCCGGUGACAAGCCGGACGAAGGCGGGGAUGACGUCAAGUCAUCAUGGCCCUUACGUGUAGGGCUACAAACGUACUACAAUGGCAGUGACAAUGGGCAGCUAGCUCGCAAGAGUAUGCAAAUCCCAAAAAGCUGUCUCAGUUCGGAUUGGACUCUGCAACUCGAGUCCAUGAAGCUGGAAUCGCUAGUAAUCGUGGAUCAGCAUGCCACGGUGAAUACGUUCCCGGGUCUUGUACACACCGCCCGUCACGUCAUGGAAGUUGGUUCUACCUGAAGGCGCUGCGCUAACUUAGGAGGCAGGCGACCACGGUAGGGUCAGUGACUGGGACGAAGUCGUAACAAGGUA
rnacentral:rRNA from 1 species